rnacentral:rRNA from 1 species
CCUACGGGAGGCAGCAGUGAGGAAUAUUGGUCAAUGGACGAGAGCCUGAACCAGCCAAGUAGCGUGAAGGAUGACUGCCCUAGGGGUUGUAAACAUCUUUUAUAUGGGAGUAAAACAGGGUAUGAAUACCUUUUUGUAUGUACCAUAUGAAUAAGGAUCGGCUAACUCCGUGCCAGCAGCCGCGGUAAUACGGAGGGUCCGAGCGUUAUCCGGAUUUAUUGGGUUUAAAGGGAGCGUAGGUGGAUUGUUAAGUCAGUUGUGAAAGUUUGCGGCUCAACCGUAGAAUUGCAGUUGAAACUGGCAGUCUUGAGUACAGUAGAGGUGGGCGGAAUUCGAGGUGUAGCGGUGAAAUGCUUAGAGAUCACGAAGAACUCCGAUUGCGAAGGCAGCCCACUGGACUGCAACUGACACUGAUGCUCGAAAGUGUGGGUAUCAAACAGGAUUAGAUACCCCGGUAGUC